rnacentral:rRNA from 1 species
GUCUGCUGGUCUGGAUCGGUGCGCUGCACUCAAGGUCUGGAGGUCCCUCGGCUCCGUCGGCGGCGGUGGCCGGCCACUGAGGGGAGGUCAGGGGACGAGCCGACGAGGGGAGGGGACUGAAGCCGCGAGGGUAGGUCAGGGGACGUCCGACGUCGGGACGAGCGGACGAGCCGACGCGAGGAGCGGACCGAGCGGACGAGACGAAGAGGUCGGCCCGCGCCCCGCGGCGGCGCGGCCGAGACGAGGACGCGACGAGGUGGGAGGUCAGGACGGCCGGAGAGGGCGGAGGGCCAGAGGGGGCCCGUUGACGACGGGGCUGACGUCGGCUCUUAAUUUUCUACUUCUAUAAAAUAAGUAGCCACCGGCGUUACCUUCACAGAUUUAAAAACCACGUUAACUCGGUAUAAACUCUAUAAGAAAACUCCAUCGAUAUCGGACUACCUGCAAUUCAAAAAGAGAGCGCUGCUUAAAAAAAAAAACCCGGGCCCCGAACGAGGUUAGGACCGAGGCGGUGACCAGGGUCGAUACAGGCUGGAAAGAGUAAGGGAAGUGAGAGUAGUCGAGGAGGAGAGCCAAACUAAUCGGAGGGGUAGACAGGUGUGACGGUCAGGGACCAAAGAUGUCCAAACACUCUGAAGUUCCAAAUGUUCGAUCACACCGAAAUCAACUCCACUCGCGGAUGUGGGCACCUAGACUAGUGUGAUAAAAAAAAAAACAGAAUCUAAAACAGACUACACGUAGAGGAUAAAGAGAAAACCGAAGAAGAACGGAAACGAUGUAGAAACCUUAAAACAAACCCAUAAAACCAACCUACGACUCGUAAACAAGGAACCUAAAAUCGACAGGUGAAAGAAAUAGAAGGGGAAGAAAUUAAAAAAGCGAAGGAAGGAGUGGUCACUCACCUCUGUCCAGUCCUUAGUGGAGGGAUAAGUCGAUCCGAUGUGGUAGAACUCUAAGUUGGACUUGGUACAAGGAACUUUUCUGUUCUCAUUUGCCCUUUUGAAUGAAACCCAAGUAUACUACGUCUGGUUCUUAUUUGCCACGUCUAAACCGAUCGUCGUUUUCUACUUACUUAUAUCACUACCUUUCGGUUUAAAUUUCACCAUGACUAGAACCACAGCUAAGGAUGGACUCGGUAGUCUGUGUUGAAGCCAACCAGUAUCCAAAGAACCGAGAAAUCCGACUCCAAAAGAAAGAACCCGUUGACUCCGUCUUCUUGGACCAUUUAACCAACUCGUCACGAUACUCCUACUUGUGUCCUACGACCACAUGUUCAAGUACUCGUAACCCUCGGGAUUCUGUGUGGAGAAGUUUUCAUAUUUAACGAGGGAAGGCACCUACUGUUCCUAUUUUUAGCUGUUCCUACUUCUAACGAUAACCGCGCCGAUUCCCUGAAAGAACUACGAUAGAGCGGUCACUAGAUGUUCCGGAUGUUGCAGAACGAGCUGAGCGCGCCCGAUAUUGCAGUCAGACUCGGAGGUGCUCGAGCUACGGGAGUCCCUGGUCGUGAGAUGUGCGAACGGCUACGUCACCAGCAAAUCCAACUGAGCUGCUGAUCCAUCGUCGUCCUCGCCUACACUUUUUCGCCACCAGUAGCUCCAGUUGAACUGGACGAUUCCCGGGCAAGCCUAGCAGAGGUCGAAGAUCGAAGCAGUAGAGGCGCGUACCUCGUCCGGGCUUGCGGCGUUGAGGAUCUUCGACCGAAGCACCUCGUCGCAACGGAGCGUCACGUUUUUGUUCUUCGUCGAGCUUGGGCCGAGGGUUUUUAGCCUCCUCUGCCUCAACCCGUAAUAAUGGGCUAUACGGUGGCGGUUCACUGGAGGCUCGUUACAUGGCCAAGUGAGCUAGACAAGAAAGAGAGGGGCUAUGCAGGAGAGCGUCGCGGGAACGUAUUGACCCGGUAGUUGUCGAACGGGACCAUGGUCGACUUUCCCGGGUUAGCUGGAAAGACCCAACCGUUGAGUACGACUGGUUCGACCUCGACGGAGCGCGCCGGCUUGCUAGCGAUCGAGGAGCGCCUUCGAUCGACGCGACCGAGGGCAUUCUUCGACCGGAUUUGUCUUCGGUCGCUCGAAGGCUUGUGCGGGAAUCACACGUAAACGAAAACUUCGUGAAGAGAAGAAGCAUUAGUCAGUUAAUCCGAUGUUUUGACGAUGAAGAGACAAGUAUAUGCGAAUAGUUAUACAUACUACGAGAGUGUAUUACAUAAAACACUUACACGUGACGGUCAUAACGUAAAGAUGACGAC